rnacentral:rRNA from 1 species
AUUGAACGCUGGCGGCGUGCUUAACACAUGCAAGUCGUGCGGUAACAGGCGUAGCAAUACGUGCUGACGAGCGGCGAACGGGUGCGUAAUACAUGGGAAUCUGCCCUUUAGUGGGGAAUAACCCGGCGAAAGCCGGGCUAAUGCCGCAUAAGAUCUUCGGAUGAAAGCGGGGGAUCGUAAGACCUCGCGCUGAUGGAUGAGCCCAUGCCGGAUUAGCUAGUUGGUGAGGUAACGGCUCACCAAGGCGACGAUCCGUAGCUGGUCUGAGAGGACGGCCAGCCACACUGGGACUGAGACACGGCCCAGACUCCUACGGGAGGCAGCAGUGGGGAAUAUUGGACAAUGGGGGAAACCCUGAUCCAGCGACGCCGCGUGUGUGAAGAAGGCCUGCGGGUUGUAAAGCACUUUCGGUGGGAAC